rnacentral:rRNA from 1 species
CGGUGUUCAACUGGCGUGUCCGCGGGACGUCCUGCCGGUGGGCUUAGCCCGCAAGGGCGGCCCAACUUCAAAUCCCAUCGCGGUGCUCUUCACUGAGUGUCGAGGUGGGCCGGCACGUUUACUUUGAACAAAUUAGAGUGCUUAAAGCAGGCUAAAACUUCGCCUGAAUACUGUGUGCAUGGAAUAAUGGAAUCGGACCUCGGUUCUAUUUUGUUGGUUUUCGGAACCCCGAGGUAAUGAUUAAUAGGAACGGAUGGGGGCAUUCGUAUUGCGACGUUAGAGGUGAAAUUCUUGGAUCGUCGCAAGACGGACAGAAGCGAAAGCAUUUGCCAAAAACGCUUUCAUUGAUCAAGAACGAAAGUUAGAGGUUCGAAGGCGAUCAGAUACCGCCCUAGUUCUAACCAUAAACGAUGCCAGCUAGCGAUCCGUCGACGUUCCUCCGAUGACUCGACGGGCAGCUUCCGGGAAACCAAAGCUUUUGGGUUCCGGGGGAAGUAUGGUUGCAAAGCUGAAACUUAAAGGAAUUGACGGAAGGGCACCACCAGGAGUGGAGCCUGCGGCUUAAUUUGACUCAACACGGGAAACCUCACCAGGCCCGGACACCGGAAGGAUUGACAGAUUGAGAGCUUUUUCUUGAUUCGGUGGGUGGUGGUGCAUGGCCGUUCUUAGUUGGUGGAGCGAUUUGUCUGGUUAAUUCCGAUAACGAACGAGACUCUAGCCUGCUAACUAGGCGUAUUUUCGACAUCUCAAAGGUCCGUCGUCUCGGCCCUCGGGUCGUGGGCGUGCGCGAUUUUUACUCUCGGCGUACUAUCAAUUCUUCUUAGAGGGACAGGUGGCUUCUAGCCGCACAAGAUUGAGCAAUAACAGGUCUGUGAUG